rnacentral:rRNA from 1 species
GGUUCAUUCAAAUUUCUGCUCUAUCAACUUUCGAUGGUAGGAUAGUGGCCUACCAUGGUAUCAACGGGUAACGGGGAAUUAGGGUUCUAUUCCGGAGAGGGAGCCUGAGAAACGGCUACCACAUCCAAGGAAGGCAGCAGGCGCGCAAAUUACCCAAUCCCGACCGGGGAGGUAGUGACAAUAAAUACUGAUACAGGGCUCUUUAGGGUCUUGUAAUUGGAAUGAGUACAAUUUAAAUCCCUUAACGAGGAACAAUUGGAGGGCAAGUCUGGUGCCAGCAGCCGCGGUAAUUCCAGCUCCAAUAGCGUAUAUUAAAGUUGUUGCAGUUAAAAAGCUCGUAGUUG